rnacentral:rRNA from 1 species
UACGUAGGGGGCAAGCGUUGUCCGGAUUUAUUGGGCGUAAAGAGCUCGUAGGCGGUUCCGUAAGUCGAGUGUGAAAAAUCUGGGCUCAACCCAGUGGAGCACUCGAUACUGCGGUGACUGGAGUACGGUAGAGGAGUGUGGAAUUCCUGGUGUAGCGGUGAAAUGCGCAGAUAUCAGGAAGAACACCAACGGCGAAGGCAGCUCGCUGGGACGGUACUGACGCUGAGACGCGAAAGCGUGGGGAGCGAACAGG